rnacentral:lncRNA from 1 species
UAUAUGUUAUUUCCCUAAAGUUUGAAUGGUUUUGGGAUGUUUUUGGAGUAAAAAUGUUCAUGGAAAUUUUUUGGGUUUUUCAUGAAUGUUCUUCAUUGUUCUUGACAUUUUUGCCAAGAACAAAAAAGUUUUGUGUUUUGAUUCAAAGUUUUGAUUUAUUUCAUAAAGUUUAUGUUUUAUGCUUAUCAAAUGAUUUAAUGUGUUAGAUAUUUGUGUAAAUGGUGGUAGAAAUAAUGGUGGGUGUGAAAGGAUUAAUUCCCUUUCACACACACCACUUGCACCACUUGCAUGCUUUAUGUCAAAACUCACAAAUCAACACACACAUCACUCCUUUUCCUUCUCCAAAACCGGCCCUCCCUCAAGUGGGAGUACUUUUGCGGCUUUUAUGCAAUUACAUAAAGUUUUGAUACUUUUGUGUAUUUGCACUUUGGCCCAAAAGUUUACGUUUUUACGUUUAGGUCCAAAAACGCUAAAGGACAAAUUGUUUUGCUCCUUUAAUGAAGCUUUUGCAUUAUUAAAAGUUUGGGUUCUAGUUGUAAUUACAUGAAGUAGUGGACUUUUGUGUUUUUACAAAGUGACCCCAAAAGUUUUGCAAUAUAGCCCAAAAGUUGAGGUUAAUUGCUUUAUGGCCCAAAUAAGUUGUGGUUAUUGCAUAUUGGCCCAAAUUAGGUAGAGAACAAAAUUGUUUGUCUCUUUAAAUGAGAAUUGGAUUUUCAUUUCAUUUAUCUCCAUUUAAAUCAAUCUUAUGGAUACAAAAACCAAAUGAAAAUGUUGCAUUCAAUUUAAUUAGUUAAAGUGUUAAUUAAUUAAAGGGUGAUUUUGAACCUAAGCCUACGAUAAUUGAGCUAUGUGAAAGGCCGUUUCAAAUUUGUUUGAACCAUGGGAAUGUGUAGAUUAGAUUUUGGUUGUAAUUUGAUUUGAUCAAAUGUUGUAAAAGAGCAUAAGCUCUUCUUUACUUUAAAGUAAUUUGUUUUAUUCAAAUGUUGUAAAGAGCAUAAGCUCUUCUUUACUUUGAAGUACUCCUUUUCUUGUUUUAUUUGAUAAGCAUGAAAAUGGAGUAGAGGGUCCAACGCCCCUAGGAACAACACGCCUUAAUGUGAUUAAACGCGUAACUAAAAUCAAUCACCAUCCCUAGACCGAGAUUCAACACUAGGCUCGUGUUGAAGGAAAAAUUUUGUCCUAGCUAAGAACAAGUAUGAACAUUUGAAUACACAUGCAAGCUAUUAACACUUUAAAGUAGGCAUGCAUUCAAAAACAAUUCAUAAAACCCAUGACUUUCAAAGCCUAGUAUAUGGUGAACCAAAAAUAAAACUCUUUAACAACAUUAAAGAGAAGUAAAGAUUAAGUGAUUCUUUACCCUUGAAGCUCAUCCUUGAUUACACAAGGGAUUCACCCAAGUGGAGGGCCUUCAAGUCACCUCCAAGCUCCUUGAAUCCUCCUUGUGUUUUCCUCCCUUUAGUGCUCCUUUGAUGAUUUGAGGAAAAAGGAUUUGUUCUCCAAAACACCAAAAGCUUGAUGUCUCUAAGUCUCUUCACCAAGGUUGUAUCUUGUGAAGAUGAAUGGGAUGACUUAGAAAGAUUUUAGAUGCUAGUAAAAAUCCUCUAAGUGGCCGGCCUCUAUGUAGAAAAUGAGAGAAAAUGUUUCACCCAAUUUCUAUUAGAAAACCCUAAUUAGAAACAAAGCUAUAAAGAUGACUUUAUACUUCAUCUCUUAGGUUAGUGGCAAACUUGCAAUUAAGCAAAAAUUCCCACUACCCUUGCUAUGGCCGGCCUCCUUUUGUUAUUGGGCUUAAUACCCAUAUUUGUUUUAGUUGUCAUACAACUUAAACAUAAUGGGCCUAGUGGACCAAAACAAUUUUGGACC